ACCUUAUAACAAACAGAGCAAGCUGGCUUUGGUAACCUUUCUUUUCUUUUCCUGAAGGUGGUGCUACAGCUGAAGCUUGUGUUUCCUCCCUUGCGUCAAACUCUGGCUUGUUUUCUGCACAUCCUCUCUUUGUCUAUUUAGCUGCCUCUUGCUUCCAUCCUGGGAAGUGCACACAGAAUGCCAGUCACGGAGUGGGAGGAAGUGUGAGUUUGGUACUUAGGACCAGCUCGGGGAAUCCCCAGGUGAGGUUUUUCUAGCUCUUGGCCAGACUUCCUGCUGGAGCCUCGAAGGCAAUUGGCAAGAUCAGUGUCACUUUAAGAUCAGUGUCUCUGAUAUUCUCAUCUCCCUCUCUCCCAAUCUCCCUUCUCGGACUCACAGAAUUCGUACGUUUAUGCUCUGGGUUGUGUGGGAGAGAAGGCCUUCUCUAGCAGUGUCCUGCACAAAUUGGGUAAGCCAGGCGCUCACUUGGUCUCCCUUUUUUUCUCACGGGAGGAAUACCAGCUUUCUUUUUUUCUCUAAAGUGUGCCACCUUCUGGGAGGAAUAAUGCUUGCAAAGUUCCUCCCACCCACUCCAAGGCAUCCAAACUCUUCUGGGUUGUUUUUUGUUUUUUCGCGCUGGAACUUUUCCUCCAUAAACCUGAACUUUCCUGAAGGCCCUCUUGUCUGUAAAUAUCUGCCCAAGUCUGUGUUUUCCAGGCACCACGAGCAAAAGGGAUUGGAUCUGGUUCACAGGAUCCUGCUGGUUCCACUGGGGUCUAUCUGCCUAUUAUCCAGUUCCCAGGUUCCGAGGCAUAUAUCUAAAGCACGGAUUCCAUUUCUCAACCGGCUGUGACCUUGAUCCAUGACCAAACCCUUCGAGCAGAAUUUUUUCAUACGAACAAGACCCUUGGUAAACUGUGGUCUGGAAGUAGACGAUUCCCCUGACAUAACAUCAGAAGGUCAGCAGUAGCCUCACACUCCAUCUCCCUGCCUGCCUACAUCAUUCAUCUCAGUUCAUCUCAUCACAUAGGCAUUUUAUCGUCGCAACCAUCGCACGAGGAAGGAGACACCACAAGGCCAGGAACGCCAGCAGGGGUGAACACACCCUAAUAAGCACACCGUCCAGGCAGUUUUCUUCAUUUCUGUGGCUGAAGGCUCCCUUCUUCCAGCUGGAUGCACCAGGCUGGGCGGGUUGAGAAUGCUCCUUCUGCCCCCCUCCUGCAGCACCAGGGGAGACCACGGGAGCCCCUGUGGUACCAGAUAAACCAAGACCAAAAUAACACUGACUCUGAAGAUUGUCACUGGAACCACAGAACCCAAAAGUGGGCCAGAGUGCGCAUGCUACAUCUAAAGAAGCUGACUCCCUACUAAAAUAAGGACGUAUAGCUCCCAGAGUCUCCAAACGUAAUGGUCAAAAUAGAGAAUCAUGUUCCUUGGUAUUGACCCGAAGAAGCUGGAAUCUUACAUCCACAUAAAAACCUGCACAAGGAUGUCAGCAGCCUUAUUCAUAAUUGCCAACAUUGGGAAGCAAUCAAGAUGUCCUUCAGUGGCUGAGUGGUUAAACAAACUACGGAACAUUCAGACAAGGCAGUAUGCAGCAAUAAGCUAUCAGUGCAUGAAAAUACUUGGAGGAAACUUAAAUGCGCAUUACUAAGUGAAAGAAAUCAAUUUGAAAAAGUUUAUGAUCCCAACUAUACGACUUUCUGGAAAAAGCAAAGCUAUGGAGACAAUAAAAAGGUCAGUGGUUAUGGUAGUGGGAGGCUAGAAGGUGAUGAAUUAGCAGAGCAAAGAGGUGUGCCCUAUUUUAUGGUUGAGAUGUGUUUGCCUUCAGUCUAGUUGUUUGCAAUGGCUCUCUUGGCCUGUUAUAGGCAGGGUUUGGUCUCCGUGAUGUUAAAGGGCCAGUCUUAGGCCACCUUGGGCUUGAGUUGGGUCAGACCAGAUAGACGCCCGGCCUCAACCCACUGCUGGGGCUAGAGUCUUACGUGUGUGGUUAUCUUACCCUCUCCCCAGGACAAGUCACUUUGGAGUGGUGCUGGCCAUUGUUGGGGAUGAGACCUGCAUCCACUUUAGAGGGACUCUGCUGAAUGAGAAUGGUUGGAGGGUGUAGUCUGCAGGAGAAUGUGGGGGCAGGGUGCACCGUUAGCAAAGCUAGGUGGAGAGUCUUUGGGCUGAUUCCCACAGGUGUCCAUGUAUCUAGGCUAGUGGGCCAAGGAGAGAGAUGGCACCAGCCAGAGGGCACUUCUUAGAGAAGUGUCCCAAAGAUAUCUGCCCCUCCUGUACAUGCUCUGAGGCCAGGAAAUAAGUCUACCUUACUGCAUACCCCAUAUGCUAUGCUUUUCAAACUGCUGCUCUUAUGCUAUAUCUGUGUAUGUGGGGUUGUUUCUUAUGCUUUUUUUUUUUUAAGGGUUGGAACUCAGUUUCCCUGUCACCCUCAAGCUCCGUCAGAACCAAACCUGCUAACUGUUAGAGUUUCCGGUGUUAAGCCCUGCUGAUUAUAAAAACGUGUGAAGUUAAGCCCCUGUGAUUUUCAAAGGCAGACAUGAUGGGGAUUCAUCUUCUCAGUGCAAGUCCCCCUUGUCUGGGGUCCCCGGCGUGGGUCUCUUCCUCUCCCUUCUCCAUGCCUAUGGUGUACCUCCCUAUUGUGAUGAGCCUUGCAGCUUAGUUUGGUUCCCAGCCUGUCUCCAGGCCAUCUUUCCAGUUUUGAUGUGGCCUCCUCUCUAUGAUUAAGAGUGGAGAGGGGCGCCUGGGGGGCUCAGUCAGUUGUGCAUCCAACUUCGCCUCAGGUCAUGAUCUUGCAGUCCGUGAGUUCGAGCCCCACGUCAGGCUCUGUGCUGACAGCUCAGAGCCUGGAGCCUGCUUCUGAUUCUGUGUCUCCCUCUCUCUCUGUCCUUCCCCUGCUCACAUUCUGUCUCUCUCUCUCUCUCUCAAAAAUAAAUAAACAUAAAAAAAUUAAAAAGAGUGGAGAGUCUGUUCAGCAAGUCUUGGGGUCAUUUUCUAGGUGAGCUACACUGAUGUGUGUGUUAUUUAGGUGUACCAAUGGGACCAGGUGAGCUCAGGAUUCUCCUACUCCACCAGUCUUUCUGGAAGUCACAAUAUUUUCAUUUUUUUUAAUGUUUAUUUUUUUCUUUUGAGACAGAGACAGAGCAUGAGAGGGGGAGGGGUAGAGAGCGAGAGGGAGACACAGAAUCCGAAGCAGGCUCCAGGCCCUGAGCUGCCAGCACAGAGCCUGACGCGGGGCUCGAACUCAUAAGCCGCAAGGUCAUGGCCUGAGCCUGAAGUUGGAUGCUUAGCCGACUGGAAGUCACAAUAUUUUAAACUCUGAUGCUCAUUAAACCCCGGUCUUUGUUCUUAGUGACCCCCGGAAGUUUCAGGUAUGCCAGGCUCCAUCAGAAUUAGCAUCUUCUUGGCCUCAUUAGCUUUCUGAGGCAGGCAAGUUAGACAUUGAUGGUAACAUGUCAAAGCGAGCCGGCAAAGUGGUCAUGUGAUUUGUGUGGUCCAACUCCUUUUAAUGGAAAGCUGACGUGGGGCUUGAUCCCACAAACCAUGAGACUGUGACCUGAGCUGAAACCAAGAAUCUGAGGCUUAACCAACCGAGUCACCCAGGUGUGCCUAAAAACGUGUAAGUAAAAAAAAAAAA